rnacentral:rRNA from 1 species
UACGGGGGGGGCAAGCGUUGUUCGGAAUUACUGGGCGUAAAGGGCUCGUAGGUGGCCAACUAAGUCAGACGUGAAAUCCCCAGGCUCAACUUGGGAACUGCGUCUGAUACUGGAUGGCUUGAAUCCGGGAGAGGGAUGCAGAAUUCCAGGUGUAGCGGUGAAAUGCGUAGAUAUCUGGAGGAAUACCGGUGGCGAAGGCGGCAUCCUGGACCGGGAUUGACACUGAGGAGCGAAAGCUAGGGGAGCAAACAGG